rnacentral:tRNA from 1 species
UGGGCCGUGGUGUAAGGGCAGCACGGCGGACUCUGACCCCGCCGGUCCAGGUUCGACCCCUGGCGGCCCAG